GACGAACGCUGGCGGCGUGCUUAACACAUGCAAGUCGAGCGGUAAGGCCCUUUCGGGGGUACACGAGCGGCGAACGGGUGAGUAACACGUGGGUGACCUGCCCUCAGCUCUGGGAUAAGCCUGGGAAACCGGGUCUAAUACCGGAUAUGACUCCAUGACGCAUGUUGUGGGGUGGAAAGCCUUGUGCGGCUGAGGAUGGGCCCGCGGCCUAUCAGCUUGUUGGUGGGGUGAGGCCUACCAAGGCGACGACGGGUAGCCGGCCUGAGAGGGCGACCGGCCGCACUGGGACUGAGACACGGCCCAGACUCCUACGGGAGGCAGCAGUGGGGAAUCUUGCGCAAUGGGCGAAAGCCUGACGCAGCGACG
rnacentral:rRNA from 1 species